AUUUUUCUGGUAGAUUAGAGCUACCCUCUUAGCCUUAUUUUGAAUGGUUAACAGUGUUUGUAUUACGGCUUAUGGUGUUUUUUAGCUUGAUGCUUUCGAAGUUAGAUCAUGUCGUGUUACCUGUACGGGUGAUGUUUCUAUACAGGCUAUAUAUGUACUUGCUGUUGUGUAUAAUGUUUAGAUUGAGGUUCAUAUGCCUAAGGGAGUCAAGGCUUUCUUUAAAGUUUUCGCGGUAUGGUACGACAAAAUGAUUGGGCUAGAUUUGGAUUAAAUUUCAAAAUGUUCAAAUUCUUAGCUCUUCUAGCAUACAUGAAUCAGUGUGAGGAAAAAUAGAAACUAUAUAGCCAUUAAUUUUUCUCUUCUGGUCUGUCCUGUGAUGUUAGCUAUUAAUUUUAUCACUAAGAUUCUUAGAUUUAUCAUGCCAAAUAGAAACUAUAUAUUAGUGAUUGACUAUGGAAUGUGGAUACUUCGUUGUAAGUUUGGUAUUGCUACCGAUUUGUUAACCCAUCUAAGAUGUAUGUGUUUAACAUUGAAGCAAGAAAGUUGAGCGAUAAGACAUCUAUCCACUGAGAUGAAUUUUGUUUAGGAAGUCAGUCUACAAAUGUUGGAAAUGCUCACUUUCUUCGUGUUUGGUGAAAAAAUGAUUCAAGUUCUGAUGCAUUUUUCUAUUGAUCUCUACCUAUUUAUGCUCUAAAUGUAUGUCAGUUGAGUUAUUCAGUAUAUACAUGUCAUCGACUGGUUCUUCUAUCUGAUCAAUGUUCUUUGAAGUAAACGUGUGGUCAUUUGCAACAUCGGUGAUGGUUGAUUAAAUUAUAAUUCUGAAUCUCGAUGUUGCAGAAUCUCAAAUUUUGAUUCUGAUUUCUAAAUUUCCAAACUAACUGUCCUUUUUGAACUUCCGGAAUCCUAUAUUAAACCAAUCCCCUUUGACCAGUAAUAUUCAUUCAAUCUGAAAAUAUCACGAUAAUUAAGUAACAGUACAAAUAUAAUUCAGUUUAGAGUAAUCUAUAUGCAUCCCUGAAAAAGGUUGCAGUGAAUCAACUUAAGUACAUAAAUGAGGGCAGAACUAACAGUUAUGUGGCAUAAGGCAUUCAGGUAGGCGUGACUAGGAACUAAUUAAUCGUGACAUAGAUUAGCUAUAUCAUAUAAGGAGUAUCUUCCUAGGCGGCAGCUAAACGUAAUAUUGGCCUAGGAACUUAUUUUGAACUUCUCCAAUCCUAUUGAACAAAUUGCCAAUCUGAUAAAAUAAAGAGAACUAAGUGCAUUUACAGUCUAGAGUAUUCUAUAUGCAUGCCUUGAAAGAUCGAACGAGAGUAAUCUGUAUGCAUAUCGUCAAAAGAUUGGAUCAAAAUGGCAAUGAAUCAACUUUAUGUAUGAACGAUAGUAUAUUGUACCUGUCACUUUUUUAUGUGAUGUCAUCCAUAUAGAAAUUCCUUAGAGAUAUAACAAUUUAUUCCGUCAUAUUGGUUGAAUCUUUCUCGCAGAGAUUAUAAAGAUUUUGGGAAAAGUCCUCGCAGAAUCAUUUGGGCGUCCUGUUAUGGAACCCAAUAUGCCUGGUAGCCCUGGUUCAGUGGUUCUUGUGUGCUUAACAAAACAAUCGCUAUGGGUGACAUCGGUGCCGUGGUGAGCGGUGGGUGUCCUCACGGCUGGUACAUGCCGAUGGGCUUCGAGGUCAGAUGUUUUUUAUUGACACGUAUCUUCGUUCUAGCAGAUGAUUUCUGUAUAUUCAUGUGUUAUGCAGUUGCAGUACAUCCUUACGUGUGCAUUGUGAUUUGUGAGUUCGUGACUAACAGACAUAGCAUUCUGCUGGGGGCGUUUCGCCAGUGCAGAGGCUGGUAGCAACAAGGCUGACGUGCUGUGGUUUUGAUUAAAAUUCAGCCUGGCCAUUUGUGCGUAAUGUAUUUUCGCUUCUCUCCUCCUUUACCUGUCUCUUAUUCUAAUGCAUGCAACAGGGAUGGAUUAAUGCUGUGAUUAUAGAUAAGCUGCAGCCGAGUAAAUAAAUAUCUAAAAAAUGGAGUUACUAUUUUUCCUUUCCGCUAGAAUAAGCAUGUGGAUUUUGGCCGUCUGAUACAUGUUGCUCUGUACUUAAAACUUUUUUUCUAGAUGCUACCUGGAAUUCAGUUAUCUGGCCUCAAAUAUUA